UACGGAGGAUGCAAGCGUUAUCCGGAUUCAUUGGGUUUAAAGGGUGCGUAGGCGGCUUUUUAAGUCAGUGGUGAAAUCCUGUCGCUUAACGAUAGAAUUGCCAUUGAUACUGAAGAGCUUGAGUUCAGUUGAGGUAAGCGGAAUGUGUAGUGUAGCGGUGAAAUGCUUAGAUAUUACACAGAACACCAAUUGCGAAGGCAGCUUACUAAACUGUUACUGACGCUGAUGCACGAAAGCGUGGGGAGCGAACAGG
rnacentral:rRNA from 1 species